GGCGGACGGGUGAGUAUCGCGUAGGAAUCUACCUAAUAGUGGGGGAUAGCCCAGGGAAACUUGGAUUAAUACCGCAUACGCCCUAAGGGGGAAAGCGGGGGAUCUUCGGACCUCGUGCUAUUAGAUGAGCCUGCGUAAGAUUAGCUAGUUGGUGAGGUAAGAGCUCACCAAGGCGACGAUCUUUAGCUGGUCUGAGAGGAUGAUCAGCCACACUGGGACUGAGACACGGCCCAGACUCCUACGGGAGGCAGCAGUGGGGAAUAUUGGACAAUGGGGGCAACCCUGAUCCAGCCAUGCCGCGUGUGUGAAGAAGGCCUUCGGGUUGUAAAGCACUUUCAGAUGUGAGGAAAGGUUGCAGAUUAAUACUCUGUAGCUGUGACGUUAACAUCAGAAGAAGGACCGGCUAACUCCGUGCCAGCAGCCGCGGUAAUACGGAGGGUCCGAGCGUUAAUCGGAAUUACUGGGCGUAAAGCGCGC
rnacentral:rRNA from 1 species